rnacentral:rRNA from 1 species
CAGUCGCCGCGGGAAUACGGAGGGAGCUAGCGUUAUUCGGAAUUACUGGGCGUAAAGCGCACGUAGGCGGCUUUGUAAGUAAGAGGUGAAAGCCCGGGGCUCAACCCCGGAAUUGCCUUUUAGACUGCAUCGCUUGAAUCAUGGAGAGGUCAGUGGAAUUCCGAGUGUAGAGGUGAAAUUCGUAGAUAUUCGAAAGAACACCAGUGGCGAAGGCGGCUGACUGGACAUGUAUUGACGCUGAGGUGCGAAAGCGUGGGGAGCAAACAGGAUUAGAUACCCCGGUAGUCCCUGUCUCUUAUAC